GAGGUCGCCGAUUCGAGUGACG
rnacentral:siRNA from 1 species